ensembl:lncRNA uncharacterized LOC112963913
AUCCGCCGGCGCCAGCCUGUGGAGGUGGUCGGCUAAGGAGGUGCGUUUUGAAACGAAGAGCCCUGGAAAGGAAAAGGUGCUCUGGGGUUUGAGGCCUCUUGGGGGUUGCGGCUGUGGCUUUGCUGGGCGCGAACAGACGCAGGCCUGAGCCCGGACUAGAGGAAGGCAGCGCUGUGUGUGCGGGUGCUGAGGCAGGUGGGAGCCGUCGCCUCGUCACCUCAUCACCUCGUUACCUCGUGCCUUGGGAGCGCGAGGAGCAGGGGCAGGUGUCUGGGCGGCUUGUUUUGUGCCCAAGCCCCGGCAGCGCUGUGCUUGACCGUCCAUUUGCUUGGCCUGCGCUCUCCGGGGAGAGCUUGCAGGGCCACGAGGGGAGCACGGGGCUGGAGGAGCAUGGCAGGGGCCGUGGGUUUUGCUUUUUUGGGUUUUUGGGUUUUUUUCCUUUUUUCUUUCUUUAGUACUUUUCUACAAGCAACCUUUUGCCAGCGGCAGGAACCUAGGUUUUUCGACUCGUCGCGGUCGCAGACCUGGCCGCCUGCCCCGCUCCGCCUGCUCACUGGGCGGCCGCGCUUCGUGGGCCCUGGCCCGUGCCGCCCCUCGUCCCUCGUGUCCCGGCCCCAUCGCCUUCCCCGGAGAGUUUUAAAACCUUCUUGUUCCAGUGAGAUCUGAUCAUAAAAGUUAUCCUGCAGAGAAAAAGUACCAGGCCUGGAGCUUGAAUUCAGCUGGAAGCCUUUUAAGGGAUGCAGCUUUCUUGAUAGCAUGGAUAACUGACAGCAAAACCACUGGCGAAUGUGUAGUCAACAGUCAGGUGCCUGCUUGGUCCCAGAAAAGGUAGCUGAGAAAGCAGUGGCAUUCCCUGGCAGAGGAGGCAGAGUAGUCCCUUGGCGAGAGGCGGCAGCGGGACCACGCCGCUCUGCGGAGCACCUGAACACAGCGCCGAGUGCCGUGAUGGAUAAAGGGAGGCCACCUGGCUCCCGGGCCCUCAGCAGAUCCCUUCCUGCCUCUCUCUCCUUGUACACCACAGAAAAAGUCAUCCUGGUCUUCUGGCGAGCCUGUGCCAGCCUUUCUAAACGAUACUACGAGGCUCCAUCUAGAAAUGACAUGAGCUGCUUCUGGGCUGAAGCAAGGACUUCUGCUGGUUGGCAAGAGGCUCUGGAGGAGACUGCACUUACACCAAACUCUAGCAAUGUGAUUCUGCCAGGCGAGGAUGCAUUCACAUGCAUCCAGGAUCAUGCUUAUGAAAUCAGCUUGAAGACCAAGGGAGAGACGGUAGCAAGAGACUGUCAGAUCUCAGCUACUGAACAGUCUGUACGCUCACACUGCAGUGUGGAAGAAACAGAAGAUGCCUUUCUAAUACCAGUGAGAAUGUGUCAGCAGAGAAGGUUGGCUGAUAAAAGACAAGGACUAGGAGGAGACGUCUUCAGGAGCAGGACCUGGGCUGUGCUGCGGUGGUCUUUCAGCAUGUCCGGGAGCCAAGACAAGUCGGCCCUCAGUGACCCCGCUACAUUCAGCACCACUGGACAAAGGAUUAAUGAAAAAAAUGGCUGUCACAGGCUUAAAAAUAGCCUGCCAUAUGCCCAUGCGAAAGCUCGGAAAGCUCCACCAGGGAUGCGGGGUCGGCGCUCGCGCCCCAGCGUUGCAGCCCCCCGCUGCAGCAGGCGUCGCGGCCUCGAGCAGAGCUGCGCAGCCCCCAUCGCACUCACAGGAACGUGCCCCGGCCCAGCCAGCGCCCCGGGGAACCGGCGGGCUCGGCUCAGCCCCUUGCCUACCAACCGAGGCGAUACCUGAGCCGUCUUCUGCUGAACAGGAAACCCAACCCGCUCAUUUUAUACC